UACGUAGGGUGCGAGCGUUAAUCGGAAUUACUGGGCGUAAAGCGUGCGCAGGCGGUUAUAUAAGUCAGAUGUGAAAUCCCCGGGCUCAACCUGGGACCUGCAUUUGAGACUGUAUAGCUAGAGUACGGUAGAGGGGGAUGGAAUUCCGCGUGUAGCAGUGAAAUGCGUAGAUAUGCGGAGGAACACCGAUGGCGAAGGCAAUCCCCUGGACCUGUACUGACGCUCAUGCACGAAAGCGUGGGGAGCAAACAGG
rnacentral:rRNA from 1 species